rnacentral:lncRNA from 1 species
AGCGCGCAUGUGCAGUGCGCGCCACACGCGUUACCUCAGAGCGGUGGGUGUUACGGACGGCGAAUGUGUCGGUGUUUAACUCUUGAAGCUCCCGUUUGGGGAACAGAGGUGCUUCGUUCCGAGGUUUGUGUGCUCGGGGAGCGGAGCCCUCCUCGCUGUCCCCUCAGUGUGCCCUUGAGGCGGCUGAAACCCCCGCGGGAAAGAGGCACGUCAGCAAAGCGCCUUCUGCCUCCCUUCAGCGUUCCCGCUGUGCCGUGUGGAGACGGUUCAGUCAGCCCUAGCUGCCGAAACACCCACCUCAGCUCCCAGCACGCGGGAAGCAUAACACGACCUGGCUCAAGAAGGGAGCUGCGGAAACGGAACACAUCCCAAGGGAUGAGAGCACUUCUCGAAGAGGAGAUCCCUCGCCGAAGAUCUUUGGCAGUACCAGUAAUUAUGCUGAGAAAACAAGCCUAAACUGUCACCACAAACAGAUUGGGGUUUUGUUCUACAGCCCCUUCCAUGAUCAGUAAGAGACUGUACCAACUGAAAAGUUCUGGUGAGAGAUUUAAAAUCAUAUCUGAGGUGUUUUGUAGAGAUCUACGAACCUGAAUUCACAGAUUCAGUAGAAAAUGAAAGACUUUUUUUUUUUUUUUUUUUUUUUUAAUGCUACUCUCUCCUCUUGAAAUCUAGGUUUUCCAUAGCUGUGGGUUUGGGUUUUGGCUCGCUUUUUUUUUUUUUUUGACAUGAACUCUCUGUCUAUAAAUAUCUGGGGAGAUUCUUCUCAUUAUUUCCCUCCUAUGUGAGCUUGACAAGAAAAAAUCUAAUCACCAUUCAGGAAACGACAAAACAGGUUUACUUGAUACGUUCUGCAGUACAGCUGUGAAUAUGGCACAGGACACUGAAAGGUCAAAGGGCUUAUACUCCACCACGACUGAUCUCACAUCCUCUCGCAAUAUCAGAUUUGCUGGUUCUGUAAAAGCACAGGUAUUUGCACAGCUGAAAUACUACAAAAUAGUUUCAGCCCAAGGGGAGGUGGGAGGAAAAAAAUGAUAUUUACAGUUCCAAGGAGGUUUCGAUUUCCCCUUUCCCUAGCGGUACAGUUUUGUUUUCUGCAAGAUUUCAACUGUUGUAACCAGAACUUUGAGCGCUAGAUCGCUUGAUCCAAACAUCAGGCAUGUCUGGUUGGCUGUUCGGUAACACAACGGGCCCUUCACUCCCUAAUCCAAAUCGAUUUUUCCACGAAGAGCUGUUCUGCUGCGAUGCUGCUGGAGAGAUAUCAAAGACAGUCUCCCUCAGGUCCAGACGCAGUGUAUCUCUCUUCCCGUUCAAGUAGCCUCUCUCUGUUUGACUGUACGAAUCAGAGAGCUCUAAGACAUCAGGACAAGAACUGGCUGAUUCAGCGAGCUUUAGGCCUUGUUCAAAAUCACUAAUCGAUGUCUCACUGGAGAUGUUGAGCAUGUCAAAAGAGCUGCCAAGAGAACAAAGGCAUCUGUGAAUUUUGUAGAUGUCAGCAGCAGGAAGAUGGCUGUUGUCUGAGGUAUAAUCCGACUGCUGCUGGGCAGUGUCAGUGGAGCACUGUGAUUUAUUGAGCUGCCCUUCUUCAUUCACACCAGCUGGCUGAAUAUAGUCCAGCCCAGAACUAUCCCAAGCUUUUGGGCUGUAUUUCCGACACUGACAAUCUCUGCAUAACCUCUCCCUGUGAAUUUCUGCUCCUGAGCUGCUGUGCUUGUAAGGAGAGGAAGUUUGCAAGGCAGGACACUGGCACAGGACAGCCUGGUCAUCUCCAAGGUUCUCUUGCAGAUUCUGUCUCUCUCUUUCAAGGGGAGGGUGCGUUCCUAUUCUCGGGCACCUGUUAUCUUCAGCUUGCAUGUCUUCAGAGAGCACUGAUGGCCUGUUGGACAGCUUGCUUGUGGAUGUGCUGUUGUCAAAACUGUCGCUGAGUUUUCUGGACAAAGGCUGGAGCUCGUAUUGCUCAUUUGCAGUGUUGGACUCCUGGACCUUCCGCAGUCGGUUUUGCUUCUCAUUUCCCCCACAGGCAUAGGUUCCAUUUGGCUCAGAGUCAUCAGAAUAAUCUUUUAUGGUGUGGGCGCAAGGCCAAAGGAUCUGCCCGCAGUUCUUCUCCGGGCCAAAGAAGCAGCACAGUGACUGGAAGAAGAAGCUGGCAAACCCACAGCUGAUACACUUGAUCAUCAUUAUAAAUAUGCCCAACUUUCUAUAGGCCAGGACUGUAGCGGGCAACAUAAUGACUCCUGCAGAGAACAAGGCAGAUGCUGCCAUCGCGGUGGCACAGCUCAUCUGCUUCAGGGAAAAGGCCACUCGGCUCAGGCGGUCCGAAUGGGGGCACAGGUGGUAGGAGAUACAGUAGUUGACGGUAAAGUCAACAGAGAGACCUACUGCAGCUGAAAUGAAGAGAGACUCCACUGCGUUGAGCUGCCACUCCAAGAGGACCAAAAGGCCAACGGUUACCAGGACAGUGCCUGCAAUGGCAGUCACAGAGAAAACACUAAGGAGAACAUUCCAGGUAGUGAGCAGCAGCACCACAAAAGAAAUGGCAAUAGAGAGCCCCAUGACCACCAUUGUUUCUGUGCUGAGACUGUGCUGGAGGUUGUAUAGCUCUAGUUUACUGGUAAACCACCCAUUCUGAAGUCCCACAGGGGCAGUUUUCAUUUCUUCUGUUACCCAGAGGUUGAUUUCUUCAUAGAAGUGUUUGGCUUUGCUGUAAUUGAAGCUAUAGUGAUAAACAGUUUGAAACUGCAGUACUAAGGCAGCAAGAUUUCCCUCUCCAUCAAAUCUGAGGCCCAGAUCGUAUGUUUCUGCCCCUUCCCUGCCUUGUUCCAGGAGCAUCAUUUUGAUGCAGUGUAGGAAGACUUCGCUUCCAUAAGGGAAAGAGAACUGGUUACAGCACAGGCUGAAGCUGUUGUCUCUCUGGGAGCACUGGCGACUAUCCAUCCACCUGACAAACUCCUCCAUGAAACACACAGUAGAUUUCUGCUCUGUAUCAAGGUAAUAGAAAGUUUGGUUCUUCACCUUUUGACAGAAUUCAAAGAGCCACUUCUGGGCAUCGGGACUUUGGAUAGUGAAGGUGGCAUCUGCCACCAGGGUGCCAUUGCUUUUUGGAUUGAAAUGGUCCCCAUUAUCCACAGGCAGGAUACCCCAGAUGAUAGUGACAGGCAUACGCUGCCCUUCUCCACGCUCUAGCCUCUCAAACAUGAACUGAUGGCAGUACUCAGAGUCGUACCUCUCAAAGGGGUGGCUCAGUCUGAACACCUGGACAGACGACGACUCAAGAGUUGGGAGUUUGAGUUUUGGGUUGGAACAGGAGAUGUAGGCACCUCCGAUUGCUAAGGCGGCAAACCAGCAGAUCCAGAUGUACCGAAACUUGAUGACCCCACAAGGCAAAAGCUUUUCAAAUAACAACUUGGAGGUUUCGCACAACGUCUUCUGGAGACCCCUGAGAACAUAGUGGAGGGAGAGAGCGACUCUCUUGUGGCCGGUGUUUUUCCAGUAGUCUUCCGGCUUGUAAACGCAGGUUGUCGCAAUGUAGCGCUCGUACAGCACAGCCGAAGAAGGAAGCCAAGUCAUCAUGAAUACGAGAUUCACCAGGACGGAGGUGCCCAUGUAAACAGCAAAGCAGCGGAUGGCUAUUAUGUUGCUAAUGUAGCUGGCGUAGAAGGCAGCACCCGUUGUGAAGCAGGAUGCCAGCAUGAGAUACGCAAAGUGGUGCAUGGUUUGACUCACCCGCUGUGAAAGCCCAGCAGAAGGGUUCUGGCUCUUGCUCAGGUUCCAGAGGUCAAAGAAGACGAAGGUGUGGUUGGCACAAAUGCUGCUGAGAAUGAUAACAGCCGUCAGGUUUACAAAAGGGAAGUAGGUGAAUCUGAAGGCCACCUUGUACAAGAAGUAGGAGAUCAUCAAAGAGCUGACGACAGUGAGCAGGACCAUCAAGGUAAUAAAGACCGAGCGUAAAUAGAAAGAAACGCUUAGAAAAAUAGCUAAUAUUGCCAGAACUGGAUACUUAGUAUCCAGUAAAAGAUAGUGCUGGAAUAGUUUCUGUUUAAGGCCCAAGUCCAUUCCAGUGAUAGAUGUAUAGUUAUCAAAUAGAUCCCAGGAUUCAAGAUUGUCUAAGUAGAUCCCCAUCAUAGAUGCACCUUUCCUUGUAGGCAAAAAGAGCAGGCUGUACUUGAGGGAUGGCACUUGGUACUCAAUUGUCUGGGGACUAAGAAAGUCUCUGUCGACCAAGAAGUGAAGAAGCUGGUAAAUAGCAUUGAAGCGGGUACAUUUUUCUGGGACUUUGGCACACUGAGAGUGUUUCUGUCUCAUGGUCUCAGGACCAAUGCAAGAUGGAGUGAGGAUACCUUUGUGGUAGUCUGGAGCGCAGGCACGAAGGAGGGCCAGGGUGUGGGAAAUGUCUCCUUGAGUUAUCUCCAGACAAGAAGACCUGUUGUACAGGACAGCAAUGUAGUUCCCCAGAGACCAGCUCGGGCAGCAUUCAUUGGCUUCAGUACGUUGGCAGAGGUCUCUAAAAUGUACAUGUGAGCGUAUCUGAAAAACAGCCAAGGGAACAUCAGGUGAGGUCCAUUCUGCACACUUCAUCUUGCUCCUCACAGUAACCCUUCCCUCCAGCCAUACAAGCCAUGGCUCUCAGUGACGAACUGCACAUGCUAAAGCAAUUGAGGCACACUAGCCUUCUGCCAAAAAAGAAACCCUGUCCAUUAUUUAUAGGUUAUAGCCUCUGAUUUGAAAAUGUGGAUCCUUCUCCACUAUUGUAGUGACAGCAUUGCCCUUAGUUUUGCAGGUGCUCUCAAGGCUAGUACAGAAGGGGGAGACAUUUUCUACUGAUCUUAUUUUAUAUUUACUUUUUUUAUUUUUUUACUCCUUAUAUUAUUACUAGAUUUUCCAGUAGAAUCACUGACAGCCAAAGAGAUUAUGUGCAGUCCUCCAAGGCACACAGUCUUGUUGUCUUACCUGUUAUGCCUUGGGACUUCUUGCUCUGUGUGUUUCUCCACUGCAAGCAUUACUGUGCUGGCAGCUGCAGAUGCACCACAGCAGCUCAGGUGUGUCUGACAACAUGACUAGCACUACUGAGUGUGCAAUAUGCAGUUAUGUGGAUGGGUCUGGGAGCCUGCACCCUCUGUGUGCUGUGGGAUGGUUUAAAACCUAGUUUGGCUACAGCUCCCAUGGCUGUGUAUCUGGCACGGUGUAGUGUGAACACAGAGCCUCCUGCCAGCAGGAUGUCAGGCUCUUGCAGCGGAGGUUUCCUGGAGUCUUAUCACUUAGAGUUGUUCAAGAUCCUAUGGCAAACACAACUAAUCCUAUUAAACGUCCCUCUUAAAAAACUCACUGUGGCAGUCUCCAGGACAACAGCUCCAUUUUGGUAAUUAGGUUCUGCUGCUCAACAUUCUCAACAGCUUCUGAUGAAUGUCUUUGGCUUCUGGACAAGGUUUUUGCCCAGUGACUGUGUAUUCUUGUUUAAUGGCAGCUGGACUUCAGGGAUAGGUGAAAUCAUUCUUAUGUUGCUAGGUAGGUAAAAUGCUCUGGAGUUCUCUAGGCUGAAACCUGAUCUGUAGCUUAUGUUGUUUUUUUUGCCUUCCUUUCAGCUAAAUAUUCGAGAUGAUGACAGUCAGAAAAGUGACAAUAUGUAUAUAUGUUCUUUGUGACAUUACUAACCUUGUCUUGUUCAAUUUGACACAUGGACUGAAUAGCUUGCAAGUUCCAUAAGCUCCCAGCAGUUGUGGACAUAAAUACCAGCUGGGAAUAGCCUUUCUCUGAAAGAAAAGAAAAUUAAAAAGAACAGAAAAAAAACCAACAGAGUAUUAGGUAAUGAAGAUGAGUUAACCAAGCUGGUUGGAGUAGACCCUUUGGGCAUUGAAAUAAAUAAAUAAAUAAAUAAAUAAAUAAAUCUUUCUGUCUCUAAGACUGCUGUGGAGGACUCCCUGAAGGGAACCAGGUCAUGAAGCAGCUUGUAGUGAGUGGUAGCAUCCCCAUGUGUGAUCUGACCUCUGCUCCUCGCCCAGCUGUCAGCAGCAGGAGAGCAAGGAUGGAGCAUUUUCAAAAUACACUCUCAGUGCUGUCAGCGUGCUUUCAGUGAGUGUUGCCAUCUGGUUCUGCACCCCCUCUUAGAGAGUGAGGAGCUGAAGUCCAGCCAAGAAUUCUCAAGGCCCCGAGGGUUUGGUGUUUGACUGAUUUCAUAAGUGGAGUUGAGGCAGGGGAGGGAGUCAGAAUAUCUGCAUGCUGUUCCUCUUUCUUCUAUUUAUUAACAAAUUCGGGGUAUCUUGGAGUGGUGGUGGUAUUUUUUUUUCCUUCCAAUUUUUCACUAUCAUAUGUAUUUCAAGAAGAAAAGAAGGAAGGGGACUGGUAUUGCGUGUACUGCUUUCUCAGAGUGCUUCCAGAACGUUUCCCAGUGUCCUAAACCACUUUGGCAAUUCUGUACGCUGUUGAAUUCUGGGUGCACAAUGCAUACCAUUCCGUCACGACUCCACUCACCUGGAGGACCACAAAAGAAACCAUCUACUCCAUAGAUUUGUUCCACCAUUCUCCGUGUUCUCGCUUCUUGUCCUCCCUGAACAGCCUUUUGUCCUCUGCUAAUGCCAAUGUCAUCGUAGCUAGCAAGAGAUGAUAUAAUUUGUGUAGGUAGAGAGAUCAGCUGGCAAUGAUUGAUGUUGACUAGCGAGUCUCUGGUAAACAGUGAAGUAAACACAUGGAGAGUUUACAGCCUAAUUCCUGGCUUCCAGAGGAGGGAGUCCAAGCCCAUCGCAAGGCAACAGACUUUAAACCCUCCAGGGUUCGGCUGCUUUUUAGCACAGAACAUACACUGUAAUUUGCAUAGGUAUCUUGGAACAGUGCAUCGGUACCUUUAUACCCAACGUUUUCCUCAAAGCCCCCACACCAAGUGCAAAUACCUUUUCUUCUCAGCGUAUGGAGAAAGGGAAAAGGUCUUCUUGUAGCCCGUAUGGCUCUCUACAUUCCUCCAUACGAUGAGCUUUCUGCCAAUGUCGGUAUCUCGUGGCUCAAAACCCUGCAGCCAAGCAAAAGGGUUUUAUCAUUAGCUUAUAUUUUCGCUUAGCUUAGCAUUCCUUAAUGCUUCUCCUAGACACAGAAACUAUAUGAGACUAUUUGAGAUGAUUACUGCAUCUUGGAGAGAUACACGCAUUGAUUUUUCCCUGGAAAUACUGCAUCCAAGAGAUAAGAGGAAAAAAAUACAUUUCUCCUUUCCUUUUUGGGUGAGGAUGGCUAUAGUGUGAGUCCUCAGCACUGCAGAGAUGGGCUGGUGGUUGUUGUUGGCACAGGGUGUGCUCCCUAGCCCACCUCAAGAGUGAAGCCCAGCCCUCCCGCAGCUGCCAAGUGCAACCCAAACUUUGCUGUGCCCCAGUCCUGAGAGAUGCACUCUCUCUGAGGAGGGAGGUCUGGAGAUGCAUCUCUGUAGGCUGGAGCAAAUGCUCCUCAGGAGGGAGAUGGCGUGUUUAGAAGCUGAUGAGGACACACUACCAGAGCAACAUGCUGGGCCUCAGGAAGGGGACUUAAAACUGAAUACUAACAGAAUUGCUUCACCGGUGAGAGCUAUUAAGCAGUGCAGCAGUGAAAUAGCAAGGAAUGAAAGCCUUUCGCUAAUGAGUGAUGUCACUAUUUCUGUUUUUGUGACUGUGGUAUCAAAGAAACAGCAAGUACGGAGCAUUACUCUGAAACAUUAUGUCCAUCCAGAAGGAAUCUUGCUUUGGUUGCACACUGUGAAGAUGAGAGGGGAAAAGAUCACAGCAGAUCACUGAUAAACAUUGCCAUUUAUUUCUAGUUGCUUUAGUGUCCUCCUGUCCUGCCUUGCUGCCUCUAUCUGCAGAGAAGGAAGGAAGCAUAAGCUUGUUUUGUAUGGCAGAAAGAACACAUUACUAGUCGCCCUGUGGAUUUUCCUUCUGUUCACAAUGACAUAUUGCCUGCAGGGACUUACCAUCAGGGGUUCUGAGAAAUCCGGCAAAUUUCCAACAAGCAGGCCAGCUAAAGUGCAAAUCACAACUGUCACUGAACACAGCACCAGGACGGCAAUGGGCCACUCUGCGAUCAUUUGAGAGUAACUAGAAUCAACAGGAGGAGAAAGAAUGCAGCUGUUAGAGCCCUUCUGCUACUAGCAUGAAAGCUGCUGUUGAGCCAACAUAGAGCUAAUAAAAAGAAGUAGAAGGACUGGGGAUUUUCGGUUUGAGCAUUUGUUUGUUGAAAAGCUUAGAGGCUCUAGUACAGCUAUUGAUGAAUGUAUUAUACCUCCAACCAGGUGUUUGAAGGCAACUCUAAUUAACUCAGGUAACCACAUUUUGCCUCUCUACAUUUUCCUGCUUUUUCAAUCAGAAAUAAUAAAACCCAGACUCUUCCAUCCUAAGGCAAAAGGAAGCUUUAAAUAUUUAACUUAAAAGGCUGCAUUUAGAAGGAGCUUCUCUCUCACUUGCUUUCUUUUUUCCCAUUGUACAAUCUAAGCCAGUAUUUGUCUUGCUAAAAUAGCAGAUUUUCUGCCUGUGGACCCUGAGAAGUUUAGCUAUUCUGAAAGGUCUCCUGAAGAUAACUAUCUCAAGCAAGUCAUUAUUAUUGCUCUAAAUUCACUGAUUGUAUGAGGGCCUGCCUUACUGCUGAGAAAUACAUAGACACCUGCAAAGUUAAAAAAGGAUGGAAACCACUGAUCUGAUGUUUAACCACUGUUAGGAGUGUCAGCAGCAGUCCUGGAGUGGGCAGGUGGUUUCUGGAUCUGCAGGAUGAGUGAGUCUCACCCUGAUUGCAGCCUCAAAGCCAAACGCUGACCUUACAACAAAAGCACCUGCAAGUGCUGCAGACCAGGGUUUGGAGAACACACAAAACCCCAUAGGCUGGUGUGGUUUGGUGACCCUUCAAACAGCUUUUCAUGUGAGUUUAUGUCAGGCCUAUUCUGUUGUUUUUUUCCUUUCAAUUCAAGCCUCAUGAAUCCUUGUGCAUAGUCUUGCAACAAAGAUCUCUUCCACUGUAGCUUGUGAGAAAAUGCAGGACUCUACUGCUGUUGCUCCUGAUGUCCUUCUGAUUCCCCAUCUGGUGGGCCAAGCUGGAUUAAUCCAGUCAGUGUAACUAUAAAUAUAAAGCUGUCGUAUGGACUAGAGCCAGGUACCUGCUCUGAGAACAGCUAUCAAGGCAGCGUUGCUAUUCAUUAGUGCAGAUUGCACAAGCAAAUAGAGAUUUUUCCAGGCAGAUGAGAAGCACGGAGCAGGGAGCGCUGACCUUGCCUCUGAAACUGGGCCUGCUGGGGAGGUCAACAGCAUUGAUGCCCUGCAUUUCCUAUUAGCAGAGUAGGAGAGCCAUGAUAAUAGGGCAGAAGAACAGCAAGGAUUUGAUAUUAAGCAUACCUUUUGGGCAUCCUGAAAGCUUUGUCAUGUCUGCAGACAGAAAAAAAAGACAUACAUUUAUUAUUUUCCUGCCAAGCAUCAUCCUGGGCUCCCAAUGAGCCACUUAACCCCUUCAGAAGCUGAGCCAUUGCUGUGGGAGUUGUUUGGCACUACAUGGAUUUGUCUAAUGAAUAGCAGGGUCUUUCCCUCUCUCAUUGGCAUUUUAACCAAACCUGAUGGGAAUACUCUUAGUAACUCCUCUGUGUUGCCCCUCCAGAAAACACAAUAGAAUGUAAAGGACGUAAACAACAUAAUCCAAUAGGAAUCACCCUGUAACACCUAUCGAUGAAAAUCUAUCUGUUUCAAGUGCUUUCCUGCAGAAUUUUUAAAUUACUUCUUGGCAACAGCAUAACUCUGUGAAAUUUUAUGACUGGGGCUAACAAUGCCUAUAGUUUUUAUUUCCUGUUCAACUCAACAAGGAUUUUCCAGAGAGUCAAUCUCAUUUGUUUCCUGAGAUUUGUCCAGUCUAGAGGGAAAGGAGGCCAGUGGAGCUGCUCAGAAUAUUUUUCCGGUGUUUCUACUGCAGAGCAGCUCUUGUCAUUAUUUGUAGAGCUCUGAGGGAUAAAAGAAAGAAGCCUUCCCGAGGGGAUCCAAGGUUACCUUUAUUAAUGAAUCCCCAAAGGCAAUCUUAACAGAAAAGCUGUAUUUCAGUGGUCACCAUAUCUGAAGGGCCUUUCCUUCUGCUCUCCAUUUCCAGCUGAGAUGUCUCCCUGAAAUGCAUGGUCGCCUCAUCACUCUAAUGCUCCACAGAGUUGAGAGAGAGGGGAGCAGAGAAAAAUUCUCAUAGAUUAUUAAAGAGGAGUCUCUAUUUAGCUGCACACUGCCUGUCUUUUGUUAAUUCUUCCACAAUAGCUUCUCAAGCAGAAUUGCUCAGGCUAAAAACCUUAUUCUAUGAUUGUUGUAACAUCACUUCUCUGCCUGCUAGUGCUGCACAUUCUGCCAGUGAUUUGCAGACCAGCUGCAUUUCCUGCUUCAGUAACCUGUUAGAGAGAAAGCAGCUGACAAUUUUGUUGAUGCAAUAUCGAUGCAAAUGCAAACACAAACAAAUUAAAUCCUCUGUUAAUGGUUAGAAAAUGAGACCAUAAAGGACUUUUGUGCCUAACCCUGCACUACUGUAAAAAAGCAAGGAAUCCUAUACCACUGGACUUUGCUUGCUGACUACUGCUUGUUGCAAAGCAACCUGGAAGACCAAGUCGUAUUCCCCAACUUUGUAUUUCUAACUGUAUUUCCCUCACCUCCAUCAUAGGCAGCAGCUUCAUUGGGAAUAGAAAAAGAAAUUAACCAUGCUCUUAUCUCUCAGAAACUCUGCCAAGAUAAAGGAUUAGCCAGCUGGCUAUCUUGCAGUGCAAAUGGAGAAAAGGGGAGGAUCACAGAAGAUGGGCAUGAUCACAGCUGGAUGACGCAGGAGUAACAGAGUGACCUUGGCUCUAUUCAACAGGUCACCUUGAGAAGGAAAUCCUGACUCUCCCAGGUGCGGGAAUGGCAGCUCUGUAUGUUCCUAAUGGGUGGAGAGAGAAAAUUCUCUCUAUAUAUAUUUUUGGGGGCAUCUACUGCUUCAAACUGGUGAGCAAGAUCACUCAGAGCCUUCUGAUCCUGUCCGAGAGUUCAGGAGAUGCCUCCUGAAAACUGCUGAGCCGCUCUCCACGUGCAUCUUACCUGACUGUUACAAUGUGGUGCUGCAUUGGCCGAGAGAGUCGCUGCCCAGGAGACCACCGUUUCCAGGGGGUUUCCAAAGCCUCAUGAUGAGAAGCUGGCACAGGAUCACUGCUGGAAAGGUGGGAACACAAUGUGGACCUCUCACCAUGCCCAGGGAGCAGGGGCAGGCCGUAGCUGCCUCGGGGCUCCUGCUGGUUGCAGGAGUAAUACAGGUGAUGCUGUUGCGAGUCCUGGGAGCUCGACGGUACCUGACCAUUGGACUGGGUGGAGAUUGGCCCCAGCGUGUGGCUGGAGGAGGGCAGGUGGUCUCCCCCCAGCCUGGGCGAUGCAGGAAUGGGGCAGUGAUGGACCGGACAGAUUCUUUCCCAAGAAGUGCCACUGUAGCUGGGCUCAGUGUUGGCAAUCUCUGGCAUGGCGAGACAGGUCUGGCAAGGUCCUGCAUUUCUUUUUUCUCUGUGAGGAAAUAAAGGGAUGGUAAAACUUUUCUCUGUUACAACACCAGAAAGGCUAUGCUGGGGAAUUGCACCUUGUCUCCCACUUAAUGCAAGACGUAAAACCUCACCCUCUGUUUACUGUAUCAAGAGCCAGGGCUGAGCUGAACCAUGCUUUUUACAGAAAUAUCCAUGCCUCACUCAUGGAGUGCAGCUGAUGGUGAAUCCAUCAUAUCUUUGUGCAUGUUAUUCUAAAAUUAUGAAAAAUAGUAUAACAUGCCCUUGAACAGUUUUCAGCUCCUGUAAUGGCUAUGGUUUUAGAAACCAGGUAUGGCUGCAACGUAUGGGCAGAGUAAAGUUAAUUAGAUGCUUAUGGCAUUUAAUUAGAUGGGCCUCCUUACUCCUUAUUUCUUCCAAGGCAUUUCAGUGCAAAAGGGGCAAAACACGCUGGCUGGUGAUAAAGGCAGGGUCCUAAUGCGGAAGCACAGAGUAAUUACAGAGAUCUGAGUCAGUCUUUGUGAGAGCAAGAAAACCCUUCACACACCGUAGGAUAAGGUCACACUGGCCCAAAAAUACCUUUGAAAUUACCAUCUCAGUGUCAGGGAGCUUCAGAAGCACUGUGCAAUUUGGAGUUCAGAAAGCAAGAAUGAUAUGGAAACACCUACAGUCUCUGGUGGUCGAUCAGAGAACGUGCUGUGGUGUCUACAGCUGAGUUAUAUGCCUGCUGUAGUGUCUGGCAUUGAGCAUUAAGUGUGAUGGAUGAUUUGGGCCAGCUAGAAUCACAAAGUGUUUUGAGUUGUCAGAGAAUUAUGAGUACUGGACUGAGACAAGAAUGAGAUGAACUUUAGCCUGAGGCGCCUGAUGAGAUGUGGAGAAAAACUGAAGACAAAAUAUGACUGAGAAGGGAAUAUUUUCAAAACUUUGCAGAGUUCAUCUCAUUUCUCUUUCAGACAGCCACGGAAAAAGACAGAAUGUUAGCAAUUACAAGUUUCUGGAAUUGUACCCGAAGUUAAAUAGUAGUAUCAAUGACAAAAGAGAUUUGAAGAUUUCUGUUAGCUCAGUACUGCUUGAAAAUUGCUAUUUUUUUCCAGAAAGGAGGACAUAUUGGCCUGGGCAGCUCAUGCUGUGUACUUUCCAACAUCAAUUGAGCUUAUCAACACUGGGAAACUAUAUUUCAUGAUUACACAGAAUGGUCUCGUUUCACUAAAAUCAUUACGACAGAGCAAUGUUUGCAGUAGCAGUUAUACCAAUGCUGGUAUGGAGAUUCCUGGCACAGGCAUCCCACUCACUGCUACUUGCACACAGAACCUGUCCAGGGACUAGUAACAAAGAUAUCUUGCCUAGUCAGACACCAUCCAAUGCUAGUUUUAGUUUUUAGUUAUGUAGUUACAGACAGAGAUGACAUAGUCAAGGUUGCUUAUCACAACAUCAUUGACUUUGGAAGCAAUAACUGAUGUUCACAUGCAGGUUUUGGGUCAUGAAACUGGCAAAAUAUCAAAACAGUUAGCAAAUGCCACUGUCUGUGUGAGCUCUGCAUCCCUGGGAGAGGUACAUCCAAAGGGAGGAAAGUCAGACAGGAUCUGUGAGACCACUGAUGUUUCUUAUGGCAGCAGAUGUACAAAUUGGUGGCAACGAGCCAAAGUUUGCACUGAAGCAAGUGCCAGAAAACCUGCAGACAGAUGUGUGCACACCUCAUUGAUAAGCUUGACAGGUUUUUCUCAACAGUUCCAGCACUCAGCUGCCUCUGCUCUGCAAUACAAAGGACUAAUAAGACUUCAGCUAGCUCAGUGUAGUGAGAGGGAGUGCUGCUUGCAAAGCACGAGCUCCCGAACAGAUUGUGACAAUGAUAUCCCAUUCUCCCGCAGAGUUUGUCAAAAGAAAUAAUAUAAAACCCUGUCGCAUGAAGUCCUUGCUGUCCUUUCACAGAUGGAUUAGUGGCAGGAUUACCCAGACUUUCAAGCGAGUGAUUUGGGUUACAGCUCUAUGAAGGCAGCUUACAAGGAAGGCUACAAAUUUGUUGGUGGUGUAUACAAAUGCGCUGCACAAGACAAUAAAUCAGAUGUCAGCAAUGUGUUCAUGAGAUGGAAUCUGGAGCUUGCUGCAGCCUCAUCAAAGUCACCUGCACUGGGGAGAUUUGCAUGCGGCUGGACGGCUGCAGCAUAGAGCAGGUGCAACAAAGGCAGAGAAGGGAAAGCUUGUGGUCUGUGGUAGGCAAUGAAUGAAAUGGCAUAUUUAAUUAAUUACUGCCCAUUUACAGUAAUUGCAGAACCAACCAGCCAGGGACAUGGUAACCACCACAUCCUCCCUAUCUAUGGGAAGUGGCAGGGACGAGGUUUAUUUGCGAGAGUAUCACGCUUCCAUCCUUGAGAUAAAAGUGUAACUCCUCUCCCUUCUCCCAGGUUUCCAGCGCUUGAAGUGCAAGUUAAUUUUAUUUGGAGGCUUGUAGUUUUGUAUUAGCAGAGCUGAGGCACUGAAUUGUCAUCAUAGAUCUGGGACUGUGGUAGCAUUAUACUUUUGCAAGGUCUGGACCUCUCCUCACUCCCUUUUUGAUGUCUUUAAAUUAUUAUUUUCCCUCUACCUUCAGUGUAUCAUUUUCCCUAAUUUAGGUGCACCUUAAGUAAGAUGUUUUCCUAAAAUGCAUAAUAGUUCACAGAGACUACCCCACUGACCAUUUAUGCUUCUGGUAUUUCCACAUCUGUAAAAUGUGUUCUUUUUUUUUUUUUUUUUAAGUGAAAACAAAAUUCUUUUUCACGUAAACUGCUGGAUUUGCAUUGGCAGUGGGCACCAGAGGCUUUUCAUAACUGAGUUAGUCUGAAGACUGCACUGCCAUGUCUGCCCGCCACAUCUGUAACACUGGACAGGAGGAAAAGGCUUUCACCAGAAAAAAAACACUUUGAAGAUAAUCAGGGAAAUGCAAGAAACAUGUGCUGAAAAAUUCCACGUCCAAAGACCCUCAGCUACACAAUCUUCUGGUGGCAAAGGCAGGUGGCAAACCCUUGGAUAUCACACAUUGCUUCCAGUUUUUUUACACAACGUUAAUGUAUUCAAUGCUAAUAGUUAACAGGCAAGCCCACUCCCCUUGAUUAUCAUCUUUGCUGUGAAAUACUGUCAUGUUCUGUUCUUUCCCCUCAUGUGGUCUCAGCUCCAUCCCCUGGCUGCUCAGCGACUUCAUGUUUUAGAAUAACUUGAGCUAAUUCAAAUCAUUCACUCGUGACUCUUCUUCGUUAUCUCCUUUUCAGGCUGAACAAUUACAGUUCUGUCAAUCACACUCCAGAUCCAGGUUGCCUUAUGCACAUCUCCAACUCUGUGACAAUGUGACCUUGGUUAUCCAGAAUCUCCAGGGAAACCUGGAGCUCACAAAUAAUGAUAGUUUUGGAUAAUUACUGGUGGCAGGCCUGCAGGUUUUGAGUCUUCAGUUGCUAUUCUCUCAAUUAGCCAAGGUGCUGGCAGGCUUCACAUUUGAUCUGCUGAGAUCUGCACCAGAGAUGUAGGCUGGUCCUUGUUUGCCUGCCAUGCCUACCAGCAUGUCACUGUGACUUUUCUGGGCCUCUAGGACCCUGAAUUGUGUUUGAAAAAUGGUUGUGAGGGUGUUCCUGAUUGUUGUUUACUGUCAGACAGAAGAAGAGGUGGGCAAGAGCGUUACACUGGACUAACACCAGGGGAAGAGAAACCUUCUUUUGAAUGUUCAUUCCCAUUCAGGGCUGUGUCAGAUAUUUGACAUCUCUGGGAUGGUGUGGGCAGAAAUGGUCUCUCUGCCACAAAAGCCUACAAAAACAGCCUGACAACUUUUUUCUUCCUCAAGCUCAACUGGAUGCAAAGAGAUGCAGAGAAAAGGAAGAGGAGCUGUAUGGCAGGUGACAGGCUGGAACAAGCUGCUCCUGAGACCCACAGGAAUGAGUUGCAUUUGUCAUGCUGCUUCCCCCUCUCUUCCCUUGAGACGUCUAGACAAGAUAAUAAUCCAAUUUAUGAAACUGCCCAAGUCCCUCUAAGUGCAGCAACGCUUUUCCAAGGCAAGCAACAGUGCGCAGGCAGCCCACCAGAUGUGCAGGAACCAGCAAAAGGGCUGAAGCCUCUUCCCACAGUAAAACAGUCAGGAUAACACCAUUGUUAUUGCUUAUGUUUGCUUGUGCUGUUAAGGGGACGAGUGCAUGUAUCUGGAGAUUAUGGGAGGGCUUAUUGCAUUUCAUGCUCACCUAUUAUGUGGGUUCACUGCCCAGCUGGCAGUGAGGGAUGGGCACCUGUCAAGCAAUUCAUCUCCUCCUUUGGCAGGGUCAAAUUCUUGUUCACUGGAAAAUUUCUGUGUAGUUACUCCUUGUUUUGCUUUUUCAAUCUAGUAGCAAAAUAGCAUGUAUCCUUAAGAAGCCUUACAAUCUUUUUUUUUUUUUAAUUAGACUCCUGAGUAUGCUAAAUCUUCAUGAAAAAUUAAUGAGACUGAAAAGCUCUGCUUCCCACGUAGUCUGCCAAGAAAAGUUUAGUUUUAUUAUCCUUCCCAUUGACUCUUCUGAACAGCCUUACCCUCACCUCGGGCAGCUAGCAGUGUUGUGGGUACAGGUGUUUGUGAUGGGGUGCAAGCAGAAACAAAGGGCUCAGCCAUCCCCACCCAGUCUCCAGCUCCAGAAAGGUCUGGGUGCAGUUUGCUGUAUGUACCCUGGCAGUAUAAAAUGCACAGACAAAAAUCUGUGUUCUCGCCCCUAUUUUGAAGAAAAGAAAACAACACCUUACUAUCCCAGCCUUAGGAAGGUCAGAAAGAAGGUGUUGUUUAUCAAUGAUCAUUUCAGUCAAGCAUUGGCUUUGGCCAGAGGACAGGUGCUACAGAGGUAACCCUUUUGUGGCUACAUGAACAGCCUUGCAUAAAGAAGCAUUUAUGUAUAUGCUUGCUCAGGAGUCAGAGAACUAUCACCUUGCACUUUAUUGCCAUAAAUUUUAGUUCUUGAGUGUACAGCAUGAGAUAAAGUCAAAGCACCCAUUUCAGCUGGUCUAACUUGUAUCCAUAACUGAACUCCGACAGGCUGCAGCAUUCAUUUUAAAGGAUCUGUUCAAACGAGCAAGACAAGCAAAGCUAAUGGGGC